rnacentral:tRNA from 1 species
GGGGGGGUAGCAAAGCAGUAAAAAUGCGGGUAUUGUAACCCACUUUCUUAGGAUUCGGGGGUUCGAAUCCCUCCCCCCCCACCA